AGUUUCCAUUUUUUGACAGUUAAUGAGGUUUAGUGUGAAUUCUGUUGAUGUGUUGAUUAUAAAUUAUUUUUAUUAUGAUUAACGUUAAUUGCAUAAAAAACAUUUGUGGUAGUGUCGAUAUGGCGACCAGGUGUAAUUACAAGUGAAUUAAUAAGAUUUGUAAUUGAUUAAAUCACGUAAUUAUCAUAAUUUUAUAUCAGCUUCUAUUCGAAUUAUUUUGAAAACUAUAUAGAUAUUUUUGUUUUGUUUCAAACAGCAAUUUUUUGCUCUAAUAAUUGAACUGAAAAGAUUUUUUCUUUGGAAAUUCGUAAAGUAUAUUUACGCAACAUAUGUAUAUAAGUGCAAUUAUCCAAUUUUUUUUUCAUGCUCAUUAGACAGUACAAGAAGGUCCGUGGAAUAUUUCUUAUCAACACAAAACAUUACAUAAAAAUAGAAAACUAUCCGUAAAAUAGUAGAGAGAAAGUUUUUAUUUUGAUAUUUUCAAUGAUGUUAAAAUUGUUAUUACAUUAUUUUUUCCUAUUUUUGAUUAUCAAGGACAUUUGCUACCCUAUCUGAUUAUGUAUUUUCCAUUACAUAGAAUUGAUUAUGACUUAAUGUAUUUCAAAAUAUUCUUUCUCCAGUAAGAUCAAUACACUUUUACAUUGGUUUGGAACAAUUGUCGUAUUGUCUGAUUGUGAUUUGUAAAACAAGGAGGCUCGAGAUGGUGCUUCAUCACGAAAAGUCAUAGCUAGUUGAUCAGCACUCUGCUGAUGGUUUAAUGCAAAAGUCAAAAAUAAUUCAAACUAUUUUAAACAAUAAAACAAGUUUCAGGGUCGUAUGUGAAGAUUCGUCGAUAUUUCGAAGCACCGUGUUUGAAUUUUUUCAACAUUUGUUGGCACCGACCGACACGAGUUUCUGGAACGUUUCAACAGUCAAAUGGUGGUGCUUCAAUACCAAAAAUCGAAUUAAGUUGAUCGGCAUACUAGUGUUGGUUCAAUCAACGCCGAUAAAUUCAUAGAAAAGUAUAAAUAGCACUCGUACGACAACACGUCCGUUAAAAAUGUCAAAUUUGACAUAUUCGCAUCGGUGUCGCCGCGUCUCAAAACUUUAGUAGCAACUGAAUACACAUUAAACGCAGAUAUUUGCAUAAGUAAAUUAUUCUUCUAUUUUUUUUUAGGCUCUGUUCACGGUGAAAAUGAAGUUUUUUUGUUAACAACGUCAAAAAGUAUGAUGGAAAUGUUAUGACAUGACCAAAUGAAAGAAAGAUAGACAACAUAAAGGCACUAUUCGUCUGCAAUCUAAUGCAAUCAAGCAACAUAUUAAAAUACCACUGUACCUUCCUGU